rnacentral:lncRNA from 1 species
AACUCAACGGACUUCUCAUGCUGGUCUUCAUCCUGGUUGCUAUCCUCCUGCAUAGGAUAAAGACAUUUGGCACCACUAUUGGCACCUGCUUCGGCCACUGGCUGGAUGUCUCAUCCUUCAUUUACUUUCUCGCCUACUUGUGUGAAGCCCAGAUCAUCACGCUCCAAAUGUCAGCACUGGCUAUGACAUGUAUGGCCACUGCAUUUUCCUGUUCAUCACCUGUAACAUUCAUAUCCAUGCCCUCUUCUACCCCUUCUGGCUGCUGGUGUGUGGGCUGCCCCUCCUG